CCCUUAGAUGUUCUGGGCCGCACGCGCGCUACACUGAUGCAUUCAACGAGUCUAAAACCUGCUCUGAUAGGGGUGGGUAAUCAUUUGAAUGUGCAUCGUGAUUGGGAUAGAUGAUUGCAAUUUUUCAUCUUCAACGAGGAAUGCCUAGUAAACGCAAGUCAUCAGCUUGCAUUGAUUACGUCCCUGCCCUUUGUACACACCGCCCGUCGCUCCUACCGAUUGAAUGAUCCGAUGAAUAUCAUGGAUUGAGGAUGCAAGUAGGUUCGCCUAUCUUCAUCUUCGAGAAGUGAAGUAAAUCUUAUCAUUUAGAGGAAGGAGAAGUCGUAACA
rnacentral:rRNA from 1 species